AAAAAAAAAAAAGAAAAAAUGAAUAAGUUGAGUGCUAUCAAAUAUUAUUAAAAGUAGCAUGACUAAACUUGAUUCAUGAUUGCUAUCUAUCAAGCUUCGCCAUUAAUCAUAAAUGAAGAAAUUCACAUACACAUGCAUGCAGUAAUAAUUUGUCAAAUUGUGAACUUAAUAAUUCUUCCUUAAUAAUUUUCUUGGCAUUGCUGAAAUGGCUAGUGCUGCCAUACAACCUAAUAAAGCAAAACUUCUAACUUCUAAGCCUCAACGGCAACAUUGUCUCAUCCUCGAUGCAUUAGGACCACAAAACAAAGGAGGAUUAACUCGAACAGAUGCCAAUCUAAGAUACAAUUAAAUAAAUUUGUUUCUAGAUGCUUAACUGAACCAACCUAAGCAUUUAUGGUCCAAGUUUACAUAAACAAAUUACACAAUUUUCCCUACCUCCAUAUAUGACUUCGGGUGUGGUGCAACAGAG
rnacentral:misc_RNA from 1 species